AUUGAACGCUGGCGGCAGGCCUAACACAUGCAAGUCGAACGAGUGGCGGACGGGUGAGUAAUGUCUGGGAAACGGCCCGAUGGAGGGGGAUAACUAAUGGAAACGGUAGCUAAUACCGAAUACCAUCGGAUGUGCCCAGAAGGUAUUAGCUAGUAGGUGGGGUAACGGAUCACCUCGGAGAAGAUCCCUAGCUGCGCUGAGAGGAUGACCAGCCAAACUGGAACGGCGACACGGUCACGACUCCUACGUGAGGCAGCAGUGGGGAAUAUAGCGCGAAGGGUGCAAACCUGAUGGAGCCAUGCCGCGUGUAUGAAAAGGGCCUUCGGGUUGUAAGGUACUUUCAGCCAUGACGCGGUAGUGGCAGAAGAAGCAACGGCUAACUACGUGCCAGCAGCCGCGGUAAUUC
rnacentral:rRNA from 1 species